rnacentral:rRNA from 1 species
GGUUUAAUUCGAAGCAACACGACGAACCUUACCAAAUCCUAGCAUCCGCUGACACAUCUAGAGAUAGAAUGUGCACCUUAGUGAGGACAGAGUGACAGGUUGUUCAUGGUUGUCGUCAGCUCGUGUCGUGAGAUGUUGGGUUAAGUCCCGCAACGAGCGCAACCCUUACGCUUAGUUGCCUUCAUUAAGUUGGGCAAUCUAAGGUGACUGCCGGUGACAAAACGGAGGAAGGUGGGGACGACGUCAAAUCAUCAUGCCCCUUAUGAUUUGGGCUACACACGAGAUACAAUGGACAAUACAAAGGCCAGCGAAACCGCGAGGUCAAGCGAAACCCAUAGAGUUGUACGCUGUUCGGACUCUAGUCUGCACCUCGACUAUAUGAAGCUCGAAUCGCUAGUAAUCGGAGAACAGCAUGAGACGGUGAAUACGAUCCCGGGUCGUAUACACACCGCCCGUCACACCAC